UGCGGCUUAUAUGUUACAGCAAUUGCAAGGGCGAUAUGCUACUGGAAUGAAAACUCUGACCACAAGGACAGAGAUGGUCUAUGGUUUUCUGCUGUGAAUGAGCAGGUUACUCCAUCUGCUGUUGGUGCUAUGCGAAAUGAAAUUCUCCUUAUGCUUAGAAGUCUUAUGGAAAGCAAAUGAGGUCUAUCCAUCGCAGAAGACAAAUAUGAAUCUGGACUGAUGUUAGUUCAGGACUUGGAAACUUAACCCUUUUUAUGGCUCAUCUUAAGAGUGGUUUAGAUG
rnacentral:misc_RNA from 1 species